GACGAACGCUGGCGGCGUGCCUAAUACAUGCAAGUCGAACGCAGUGGGGACGGGUGAGUAACACGUGGGUAACCUCCCAUCAGAGGGGAUAACACUUGGAAACAGGUGCUAAACCGAUACUGAUGGAUGGACCCGCGGUGCAUUAGCUAGUUGGUGAGGUAACGGCUCACCAAGGCCACGAUGCAUAGCCGACCUGGGGGGGUGAUCGGCACAACUGGGACGUGGUCACGGCCCAGACCCCCACGGGGGGCAGCAGUAGGGAAUCUUCGGAAAUGGGCGAAAGUCUGACCGAGCAACGCCGCGGGAGUGAAGCCUGCCUUCGGGUUGUAAAGCUCUGUUAAUCGGGACGCGGUACCGAAAUAGAAAGCCACGGCUAACUACGUGCCAGCAGCCGCGGUAAUAC
rnacentral:rRNA from 1 species